AGAUAAUUCCUAAGGGGAUACUAGGCUAAAAUUCAAAGAGACAAAAGAGACUUGAAAGAAACUGCGGUAGUUAAAUUUUACAAAAGAUUUCAUUCACUUUAACAACUCUAUAACAAUUGUUUUCUCUUCUCAUUUCUCUUUUUAUUCCUUUUCAGAAGGAGUAUGUAUUAACAUCCUUCUAUUUUUUUAUUCAUUUUUUUUCUUUUCUAUUUUCUAAAGGCAAUUUUUUC
rnacentral:lncRNA from 1 species